UGCGGGGUGGAGCAGUCUGGUAGCUCGUCGGGCUCAUAACCCGGAGGUCGUAGGUUCAAAUCCUGCCCCCGCUCCCA
rnacentral:tRNA from 1 species